UCUUUCGUAGUAUAGUGGUCAGUAUGUGAGCUUAUCAUCUGAGCCCGACAUUCGCUCGAGACUGGGCUCAAUUCCUAGCGGGAGAG